GCGCCGGUGAUCUAAUGGCUAUGAUUGCGGCCUUCCAAGCCGUCUAUCCGGGUUCAAAUAUUGGCGCCUGAGGCGACAAUGCCUCGAACGCCAGUGAGAAAGUCCCGGCCGGCGCA
rnacentral:tRNA from 1 species